GAUGAACGCUGGCGGCGUGCCUAACACAUGCAAGUCGAGCGAUUCUCUUCGGAGAAGAGCGGCGGACGGGUGAGUAACGCGUGGGUAACCUGCCCUGUACACACGGAUAACAUACCGGAAGGUAUGCUAAUGCGGGAUAAUAUGCUUUAGUCGCAUGGCUGAAGUAUCAAAGCUCCGGCGGUACAGGAUGGACCCGCGUCUGAUUAGCUAGUUGGUAAGGUAAUGGCUUACCAAGGCGACGAUCAGUAGCCGACCUGGGAGGGUGAUCGGCCACGUUGGAACUGAGACACGGUCCAAAAUCCUACGGGAGGCAGCAGUGGGGAAUAUUGCACAAUGGGCGAAAGCCUGAUGCAGCAACGCCGCGUGAGCGAUGAAGGCCUUCGGGUCGUAAAGCUCUGUCCUCAAGGAAGAUAAUGACGGUACUUGAGGAGGAAGCCCCGGCUAACUAUGUGCCAGCCGCCGCAGUAA
rnacentral:rRNA from 1 species